ensembl:lncRNA
GAGCUUGGUUCGCAUUGCUGGCAAUAAGUCGGACUCGUUCCCGAUGAUGUGGUUCUGUUGGCUUCAUCGGCUGAGGGCCUCCAGCUCGCACUGGAACGGUUCGCAGCCGAGUGUGAAGCAGCGGGAAUGAGGAUCAGCACCUCCAAAUCUGAGGCCAUGGUUCUCAGCCGGAAAAGGGUGGAGUGCCCACUCCGGGUCGGGGAUGAGUUCCUGCCCCAAGUGGAGGAGUUCAAGUAUCUCGGGGUCUUGUUCUCGAGUGAUGGGAGAAGGGAGCCGGAGAUCGACUGACGGAUUGGGGCUGCAGCUGCAGUAAUGCGGACGCUGCACCGGUCCGUCGUGGUGAAGAGAGAGUUGAGAGUAAAAGCGAAGCUCUCAAUUUACCGGUUGAUCUACGUCCCUACCCUCACCUAUGGCCACGAGCUGUGGGUAGUGACCGAAAGAACGAGAUCGUGGAUACAAGCGGCAGAAAUGAGCUUCCUCCGAAGGGUGGCUGGCCUCUCCCUUAGAGAUAGGGUGAGAAGUUCGGCCAGAGAGGGAGGUCUGGGCCUCUGCUGCUGCCCCUGCAACGACCCGGCCUUGGAUAAAGCGGAUGAAGAUGGAUGGAUGGAUUUCCCGAUAGCUUAUUUUUAUAUUUUGUACACAAUAACAGAAUUAUUUCAUAAAAACACAAAAUGACUGGUGUCAACAUUAUUUGCCCCACAAAAAAGUUUCCUUUUCAUUGAGCUGGGCGAUGAUGUGCUUGAACUUUGUAAUGUGCAAAGCUUUUAAAAUCAAGUGAAAACUGUGACCCAACAGGAUAAAAGAUGAAACGGUUACUAUCUGUUGAUUUGUGACGCGCAUUCAUAAGGACUUUUCCUGUUUUUACUGCAGGUGGAAACCUGAAAUCCUGAGGGUAUAAUGAAUAGUGUUGGUUUCUGCACUUGAAUGAAACUGCACAUUAAAUAUGUGCUUAACACACACAAAGACAGCGCCUGGUCCUGCGGCGUCCACCUGUUCAUCAAUGCCAGCAAUCAGUGGGAGCUGUAUUUUAAGCCACACCACGAGUCCAUGCCACGCUGAACUACUCUUCUCUUCCGUUAGCUGCUGAGCUCAGCUUAAGGUUGCUCACGCUUCUCUGGAUUCAUGCCGUCUUUACCUGCCUGUCCUCCUGCCCACCGGCUCUGGUUGCACCUGGAAAACAGUGUCCAUCACCUCAGAGACUUGCUGCCACUCUCAUAGUCGAACCAGGGCUCCUACAGUCACACCAUGUCACUGUAUAUUGUGUAUAUACACAGUAAAGUACAGAAAGCUAUUCUUGCCUUUGUAUUGUGUCUUGCAUUUGGGUCCAAGUUGUAUUGACACUUUUCAAC